rnacentral:sRNA from 1 species
UAGCGCUGCCCUCCAUGGGCGUUUCCUCCCUGAACUUGGGCUGCUGGCGACGGCAGCCCCUUUUCUUCUUGCUC